rnacentral:rRNA from 1 species
UACGUAGGGUGCGAGCGUUGUCCGGAAUUAUUGGGCGUAAAGAGCUCGUAGGCGGUGUGUCGCGUCGGCCGUGAAAACCUGCAGCUUAACUGUGGGCGUGCGGUCGAUACGGGCAUCACUGGAGUUCGGCAGGGGAGACUGGAACUCCUGGUGUAGCGGUGAAAUGCGCAGAUAUCAGGAGGAACACCGGUGGCGAAGGCGGGUCUCUGGGCCGAUACUGACGCUGAGGAGCGAAAGCGUGGGGAGCGAACAGG